rnacentral:rRNA from 1 species
CACCUCUUCCCAUCCCGAACAGAGAAGUUAAACCUUGCCACGCCGAUGAUACUGCGAAAGUGGGAAAGUAGGUAACCGCCCCCU